rnacentral:lncRNA from 1 species
UAUGGGCCAGAAAAAAAUCCAAAUGGUGACAGCGAAAGCUCAAAUACACAGUGUUUCUGACYCCAGACUGACUGAUGGACAUUCUGCUUCUUUCUUGUACCUAAAAUAGAGAUUUUGCCAAUCCCUGAGCUGUUGUGUCAAGGCCUGAGUAGAAGAGACCUUGCAUGGAGAGAGUAGUUUGUUGUGUUUCACCGAAGAAACAACUUUGAGCUGUGUGGCUGUUUCUUACCCUUUUUCAAGGUGUUCUUGUAGCCAAGUCCUCUGUUUAGGUUAGAUUUUCUGAGUUGCUGGAAAUGCCAAGAGGUCAAUGGAGGARAAGCACUUUCCCAGUUGGGUGAGAAAAUGAGGCUUUGCUGCUUGGCACCCUUCUUUGUUGGGCUGAUAGUGGUUAAUAGGAAAUUGUGGGACGUGCUGGAAUUGUUAAAAUACUURAGUAGAAAGUGGUACAGAAGUGCUAGGAACAGUGAACCUUCAUGCACAGAGAAAACCAAACCCUGUUGUCUGAAGCACUGGAAGUUGGUCCUGGACCACCAAUUUYGUCGUUGCAAUGGUGAAAACACGCGUUUGGCUUGCAGUACAGAGUGGCAGCCCCAUGUCACAAACAGGUACAAGAGAAGAUAAAGCUUGCCCCUAAAGGUCUCUUGGCCUAAUACUGUCAGGAAGAAAAAUCUUCGUUGGAGUCGGUGAGAAGAGGCAGUCAGAAGAGACGAGGCACAGCAGUCUGAGCAGCACCACGAACCUGCUGCAUUUAUUUGCUGCUGACUCUUCUUCCUGGUGAGCUCGUGCCUGGGGGCUCCUCWUUCUGAUGUACUUUAGAAACCCCUCUGUCUUGUAACACCAGUGGGCAAAAGAAGAAACCCUUUCCCUGUCACAAGGCUGUUCCUGCUUGUAACAAGUUCUCUGCCAUUCCUGURUGGGGUGGCAGGGGCCCUCUGCAACCUCCUUCCAGUGCCGCCAUGUGCAUGAGCUUUUGAAAAGCUUUUUCUGUGAAMGCUUUGCAGAUACCAUGGGAAUAUGAGUCUCCUGCGAGAUGGUUGCUGAUGUGCACUAAGCUGUUAUUUUUCUUCCUCCCAAGUGUUUUAAUUGUUUUUUAGGUUGACUUCUAUUUACAACCUUGUCGUUUUGCUCUUGUUUCUGCAGCUCAGCCUGCAGGUUAGUGAGGUACAWACAGGAGGAGUUUCAGCUUGCAUUUGCAUUAGCUUUGGCUGCUCUUUUCUGUGCAGCAUCUUCCUCUCUGUCCUGAAGCUGUCAAUGAUACCAG